rnacentral:rRNA from 1 species
UACGUAGGGGCCAAGCGUUGUCCGGAUUUAUUGGGCGUAAAGAGCUCGUAGGCGGUUCGGCAAGUCAGCUGUGAAAUCUCCACGCUCAACGUGGAGGGGUCAGCUGAUACUGCUGUGACUUGAGUCCGGUAGGGGAGUGUGGAAUUCCCGGUGUAGCGGUGAAAUGCGCAGAUAUCGGGAGGAACACCAGUAGCGAAGGCGGCUAUCUGGGCUGAAACUGACGCUGAGGCGCGAAGGCUAGGGGAGCAAACAAGG